rnacentral:ncRNA from 2 species
CAGUCAGUUCCGGGGAGCUUUAAAAAGCUGAGAGGACCGUUCGGUCGACCCUUAGAACCUGAUCCAGGUAAUGCUGGCGGAGGGAAAGAAAUGAGAUUCGAUAU